rnacentral:lncRNA from 1 species
CGCACAUGUGGCACAAGAAAGUUCCCAGACCAGGGGUAGAAUCGGAGCUGCAGCUGCCCGCCUACACCACAGCCAGAGCAACGCGGGAGCCGAGCCACAUCAGUGACCUACACUGCAGCUUGUGGCAAUGCCGGAUCCUUAACCUACUGAGCGGGGCCUGCAUCCCCAUGGAUACUAGUCGGGUUCGUAACCCUCUGAGCCACAACGGGCACUCCUAGCCUUUCUGUUAUAUUGAGGUGUUUCCACAGCAGCUCUUGGGAUUGUUACACGCAUCUUCGCAACCCUGGUGGCAUCUCCUAGGUCGAGAUGGGCAAAGAAGGCUGCCACCGCAAUCCCUCCGUCUUCUCCCUGACAUUGACAGAGAAGCUGAAGGGCAAAGCCAGCGCUGCAGCCGCCUGUUCUGGAUGGUGGCGGGGUUUCUGUCUAAGGUACAUGCCACCCUCUGCCUCAAAGACCGCCCCACAAAAGUCCCCCUCUUGCCCUCCUGGCUUACACAAUGCUUCUGGUUCUCUUAGACAUGUUUCAUCUCCUUUCUACCGAGUUAAGGGAAAUGACAGGUGAUAGAGAGAUGUAAGGGGGUAUCUGAAGAGUGUAUUCUGGAAGGGCAGACACUGAGGAACAGGCUUCAUGUCCCGAGGGUCCUUCCAGCCAGUAGCCCCAAACCAAAGGAACUGGAGAGACCUGGGCAGGACUGGGUGGUUCCAGGAGACUGGGUUUAGGUCUCAGCAAGCCUCAGGCUUUGGGUGCAAGGAAAAGGCAGGAGUGGAGAGACGAGUGCAACGAACACCUGCCAUGUGCCGGGGGACACGUGCGUCCUGGGGGGAGUCUGGCAGCUAAGCUGGGAGCCCGGACACCUGGACGAGGCGCCAAAGCUGCCCUCCUGGGUACACAGAGCCCCAGGGCCUCUAUCCCAGAGACAGGGACACUCUGGAGUCUCACAGUGACCACAGUCCGGUCAUGGGCUCCCCCACCUCACCCCCUGGGUCUCUGGGGACAGCCCACAUUUAGGAACCACAACAUCAAAUCUAGAGAACAGGGCCAGCUGGCUGAUUUAUUCCCCUUGACUUUCGAUGCUAUUCUUAGGGCACAUCUGUUUCUGAGUGAGGUCACCAAGGAAAAACCCAAAUGAAAAAAAUAUUUUCAAGCCAUCGUCAUUUCAAUCUUUGGAAAAGGAAGCGAGGCGAUAAACCACCGAAGAACCCCAGAAUUCGGGGUGACCCAAUAGGAAGAUGGAAAGUAUGUGCCCUGGGAAUGCAGGCGGCGCAGCUGUUGACACAGCGCUUGGCCAGAGCGAAGCGGAUGGACCUGCAGCUCCGAGGACCGCUUCCUCCUCACUCGCUUCCCAAAGGAGUUCUCGCCGGCCCUGCGCCAGGGAAGCCAGUCCCGAAACGUCUCCCUCAACCCCCGAGUCAGACCUAGAGGAGAGCCACUUCAGUGACCAGAUGACUCAGGGCAGAGAUUCCGGCCAGUGGCCAGCAGAUUUACUUUGGCAACAAUUUUUUUUUGUUCUAAAUUAGUUGCCAACAUUUAAAAAUCAGGACAGGAGUUCCCAUCGUGGCUCAGUGGAUUAAGAACCCGCCUGGUAUCCAUGAGGACACCGGUUUGAUCCCUGGCCUCGCUCAGUGGGUUAAGGAUCUGACGUUGCCUCGAGCUGGGGUGUAGGUCAACAGACACGGCUGUGGCUGUGGCUGUGGCUGUGAUGCAGGCCGGCAGCUGCAGCCGAUUCGACCCCUAGCCUGGGAGCUUCCGUAUACCACAGGGGCGGCCAUAAAAAAAAAAAAAAAAUCAGGACAUUUCCCACAGAAAUGAGAUUUCCAACAUUCUUUGAUACACUAGGGCCCACCUUCCAGGGAAUGACUAUCUGUGAGCUGGAGCGAAGUCACACACGGGGAAAUGGGCCUUUCAUCACUGUCACCCGACCCUGCCUGGCCCCCAGUGGUAUGAAAGCUGAGCCCCUGGACUAGAAGAAGAGUGCCAGAGACGGCGUUAGGACCUCGACUGGCGGUAAGGAGGCCACUGACUGCCACGCUGCCAGUGGCACCCACGUCCCUGACUAGUUUCUUCAGCCACACAGGGUAGAGAACCCCCUCCCCCAGCCCCACAACCCAUGGCAGGGAAGAUGAUGCGGGAAAUUACGGGGAGUGCUUUGAACACCUGCCUGCCCCAUAUGCGAGGUAAGACAUGGCCAUUCAAGGUCUAAGGGAUGAAACAAAACGCCCACAGAAAGCUGGCCUCUCUGACAGAUUAGUAGGGGGAUGCGAAGGAAGCAAGAGACGCCUCAGCGGAACAGAGAUGGGAUUUGUGAACCACCCAACCGGGCCCUGCCUGCUCACCAGAGAGGUGGAACACCACUCGGUCACGGCCCACAGAGCAGGCUCUGCCGGGCAUCUGAACAGCUAGAGCAGACUUAGACCUGGGGGCACCGGCCAUGGACCAGCCUUGGAGAGGAGUCGCUCAUCACGGCACCUUCGGUGGGUCAGGAGGAAGCCUAAGGGCUUGGCCGUGACGCUUACACUAGAAAUGCCAGGGAAAGCCAGAGGGUCCCAUGGUCUCUGAGUAUGUCACAGGGCUCACCAACUGCUCCUGAGUGUUGACCAACAGCAGACCCAAAGCCCCUGCCCACACCCCCUUCCCCAAACCUGCUGCAAAUGAGAAUGACAUGACAGCAUCAACUGUAGGGGGCUAGCUCCCAAGGGCUUCUCAGAGACCAGGAGAGGCUUAAGUGAUGAACGCCUCAGCCCCGAAUCGACCCUAAGGUCCCCCCACUGCAACCCCCCCGAGGCCAAUGCAUGAGGCUUUCUGCAGGGAAUGCUGGGGACAGAGUGGCUGGGAAACAAGGAGAGCAAGGAGCUGGGGAUCAGAUUCCGUGGGAUGUGGUGCCUGUGGCUGGGGGGCUGGGGAGGUGGCGGAGAUCAGGUCACCCAAUCAGGGCGCCUCCCACAAAGCCCAGGGCUCAGAGGGUGGAGCCUAAGGACACACAGCUCCUGGGAUUGCCAGCUCCUUCUCCGAGCAUCAGUUGUCAGGCGUUCUGCUGCCAGUCAUCACACACAUCGGGCAUCUUGGUGGCUGGGGGCUUGAGGGGUUCAUCCUGCCCCGGCAGCUGGCCUGUUGGGAUUGGACUGAACAGAUGAGGAUCACAAACUGUGUGGGAGACCCUGGAUCUCCCCUGGGGGAGCUAAGGAGACUCUGGCACAGUGCUUCCAGGACCCCCAGCAGACAGCCCAAGGUCCCCGACAAUUCUCCCGCCCCUGGCUACACAUCACGCCUGCUUCUCCCAUCUCUCCUGGGUUAGACAGCCUUCCUGUCUCCAGGCGUGCCUUUCUGCCAUCCCCUUGACACCUCCGCCUUAGGAAUCUUUCUAAAACAGAAAGCUGGGCAUUCCUACUGUGGCUCAGCUGGUUAAGAACCCAACCAGUAUCCAUGAGGAUGCAAUUUGAUCCCUGGCUCGCUCAGUGGGUUAAGGAUCCAGCAUUGCUGAGAGCAGUGGUGUAGGUCACAGACUCGGCUCGGAUCUGGCAUGGCUGUGGCUGUGGCAUAGGUUGGCAGCUGUAGCUCCAAUUCUACCCUAGCCUGGGAAGCUCCAUAUGCUAUGUGUGUGGCACUAGAGAGAAAGAAAAAAAAAAAAAGUGGAAAGCUCAUCACGCCAAUUUCCAGCAGACCCCUCCCUGCUUUAAACCUUAAAUAACUCCCUCAAAGCCUGCAGGACCCAACUCCUUCAGAUGGACCCCCCCCCCCAGCUCUUGCCUGGCCACGCCCCCACCCCCAAGCCCAAGAAAAACUGACGUAUUUGCAGCUGCCUUUUGUGCAGUUCCCUCUGGCUGGCCAACCUUCCGGAACCCGCCCAGAGACCUCCUCUCCUUUCUCUAAGACCCUGUUCUGAGAUCACCUCCUCCCUGCUCUGUGAUUACUUCCCAGCCCCACAGCCCCUAGGCUGGUUUACGAAAAAGCUUGUGGCAUCCUCCCUGCACGAGUGCCCCUCAUACCUCUGCACGCUCAUUCGCUGCCCACCUAAGAGCGGAUUCCACUCAUCUGGUUGGCUCCAGGGUGCAUGCCCACUACGGGGAGCCUCCUGGAGGGCAGCAGACACUGAAACCCUAGGCCCUGGUACCUUCCCAGGGUCAGGAAUCAAUAUGGGUCUGUUACACUAAACUGCUGCCCCCUCCCCCUACCCCCGACUCAGAGCCUAGGUGGGAAAGCAGAAGGGAGAAUCCUCAGACUCCCCAGCCCUCACUGCGGAGUCUGGCUUAAGGCUGGGGCUCCUGAACCGGGAAGGGAAGCUUCACACACACCCAGGGGUGAAGAAUCAGAGACAGUGGCCCUGAGGCCGGGUUGAGGUUCCACCACCCAGGCCAACCCUUCAUGGAGAGCCCCAGAGCCAGGACCCAGGCAGGUAACCCUGGGUGGGUUCCCCUACCUCCCCUGGCCUGGCUGCACACCACACACUGGGGAGGUCUCCUCCUGCAGACCUACGGCAGCGCCGAGGGAGUUCCCAUUGCGGCUCAGUGGGUUUCGAACCUGCCUAGAAUCCAUGAGGAUGCAGGUUGGAUCCCUGGCCUCGCUCAGUGAGUUAAGGAUCCCUCGUUGCUAUGGCUGUGGUGUAGGCUGGCAGCAGCAGCUGUGAUUCAACCCCUAGCC